rnacentral:rRNA from 1 species
AUUGAACAUAAGAGUUUGAUCCUGGCUCAGAUUGAACGCUGGCGGCAUGCUUUACACAUGCAAGUCGGACGGCAGCACAGGGAAGCUUGCUUCUCGGGUGGCGAGUGGCGAACGGGUGAGUAACAUAUCGGAACGUACCGGGUAGCGGGGGAUAACUGAUCGAAAGAUCAGCUAAUACCGCAUACGUCUUGAGAGGGAAAGCAGGGGACCUUCGGGCCUUGCGCUAUCCGAGCGGCCGAUAUCUGAUUAGCUGGUUGGCGGGGUAAAGGCCCACCAAGGCGACGAUCAGUAGCGGGUCUGAGAGGAUGAUCCGCCACACUGGGACUGAGACACGGCCCAGACUCCUACGGGAGGCAGCAGUGGGGAAUUUUGGACAAUGGGCGCAAGCCUGAUCCAGCCAUGCCGCGUGUCUGAAGAAGGCCUUCGGGUUGUAAAGGACUUUUGUCAGGGAAGAAAAGGCCGUUGCCAAUAUCGGCGGCCGAUGACGGUACCUGAAGAAUAAGCACCGGCUAACUACGUGCCAGCAGCCGCGGUAAUACGUAGGGUGCGAGCGUUAAUCGGAAUUACUGGGCGUAAAGCGGGCGCAGACGGUUACUUAAGCAGGAUGUGAAAUCCCCGGGCUCAACCCGGGAACUGCGUUCUGAACUGGGUGACUCGAGUGUGUCAGAGGGGGGUGGAAUUCCACGUGUAGCAGUGAAAUGCGUAGAGAUGUGGAGGAAUACCGAUGGCGAAGGCAGCCUCCUGGGAUAACACUGACGUUCAUGUCCGAAAGCGUGGGUAGCAAACAGGAUUAGAUACCCUGGUAGUCCACGCCCUAAACGAUGUCAAUUAGCUGUUGGGCAACUUGAUUGCUUGGUAGCGUAGCUAACGCGUGAAAUUGACCGCCUGGGGAGUACGGUCGCAAGAUUAAAACUCAAAGGAAUUGACGGGGACCCGCACAAGCGGUGGAUGAUGUGGAUUAAUUCGAUGCAACGCGAAGAACCUUACCUGGUUUUGACAUGUGCGGAAUCCUCCGGAGACGGAGGAGUGCCUUCGGGAGCCGUAACACAGGUGCUGCAUGGCUGUCGUCAGCUCGUGUCGUGAGAUGUUGGGUUAAGUCCCGCAACGAGCGCAACCCUUGUCAUUAGUUGCCAUCAUUCGGUUGGGCACUCUAAUGAGACUGCCGGUGACAAGCCGGAGGAAGGUGGGGAUGACGUCAAGUCCUCAUGGCCCUUAUGACCAGGGCUUCACACGUCAUACAAUGGUCGGUACAGAGGGUAGCCAAGCCGCGAGGCGGAGCCAAUCUCACAAAACCGAUCGUAGUCCGGAUUGCACUCUGCAACUCGAGUGCAUGAAGUCGGAAUCGCUAGUAAUCGCAGGUCAGCAUACUGCGGUGAAUACGUUCCCGGGUCUUGUACACACCGCCCGUCACACCAUGGGAGUGGGGGAUACCAGAAGUAGGUAGGGUAACCGCAAGGAGUCCGCUUACCACGGUAUGCUUCAUGACUGGGGUGAAGUCGUAACAAGGUAGCCGUAGGGGAACCUGCGGCUGGAUCACCUCCUUUCUAG